AUACGGAGGGUGCAAGCGUUGUUCGGAAUUACUGGGCGUAAAGCGCGUGCAGGCGGUAAGGUAAGUCAGAUGUGAAAGCCCCGGGCUCAACCCGGGAAGUGCAUUUGAUACUGCCUUUCUUGAGUAUGGGAGAGGAGGGUGGAAUUCCCAGUGUAGAGGUGAAAUUCGUAGAUAUUGGGAGGAACACCCGUGGCGAAGGCGACUCUCUGGACCAAUACUGACGCUGAGACGCGAAAGCGUGGGGAGCGAACAGGAUUAGAAACCCUAGUAGUCC
rnacentral:rRNA from 1 species